rnacentral:rRNA from 1 species
AUUGAACGCUGGCGGCAGGCCUAACACAUGCAAGUCGAGCGGAUGAAGGGAGCUUGCUCCUGGUUUCAGCGGCGGACGGGUGAGUAAUGCCUAGGAAUCUGCCUGGUAGUGGGUGAUAACGUCCGGACACGGGCGCUAAUACCGCAUACGUCCUGAGGGAGAAAGUGGGGGAUCUUCGGACCUCACGCUAUCAGAUGAGCCUAGGUCGGAUUAGCUAGUUGGUGGGGUAAAGGCCUACCAAGGCGACGAUCCGUAACUGGUCUGAGAGGAUGAUCAGUCACACUGGAACUGAGACACGGUCCAGACUCCUACGGGAGGCAGCAGUGGGGAAUAUUGGACAAUGGGCGAAAGCCUGAUCCAGCCAUGCCGCGUGUGUGAAGAAGGUCUUCGGAUUGUAAAGCACUUUAGGUUGGGAGGAAGGGCAGUAAGUUAAUACCUUGCUGUUUUGACGUUACCAACAGAAUAAGCACCGGCUAACUUCGUG